CAGCGUGUUAAGCGGUUCAUAGGUACUGCAGUAACGUCAGUUUCGGGUAAAGACAGAAUAGGUUGUCCUAUUAAAAAAUGGCCGGGGGUUAAUGCGAGUAGAUCAUGAGUAGAUCUGCUGAAGCUUGUAUCAGAGGACGAGAAUUGAGUAUACCUUCGAUACGAAUUACUUACGUUUCCAUUUCUUCAUAGGUUAGUACUUGAAUACCAAUAACUCGUUUUAAAUGGUGUUUUACACUUUUAAUGCCAGCCUCUCAUAUUCCACCCAUAUGAGGGGGGGCGGGAGGAUUGAAGUGUCAAUUACAUGGGAUUCGUGCGAUCAUUGCGUUUUGUACGGCCUCAUUCGCAAAAAGAGAUUUUAAUUGACGCGACGCUCCAAUAUAAUUGCUACCGCAAUCGCUAUAUAAGUUUAACAGAAUUCCCCGACGAGCUACAAAUCAGUCAAGGGCGGCAAGAAAAAUGUCCGAAGUUAAAUCUGAAACAAUUUCAAUGUGUAGUGCAUUUACGGCCAUGCAAAUAAAAAGAGCUAUGUAUACUUUGGUGGUUUUAGUGUUGCGAUGGAUAUGAUUGAACAACGCUAUUUCAAGUUUUAUACUUUUAUUUAGAUGCCAAUAUAACUCUUCAAGAAUCACGUAAGUGAUUGAAUAAAGAAUUUUAAAUUUUACUUUUAAUAAUUGUCUCUGAAUAACAUAUUGGGUAGAUUUAAUAUUAGAUAUUUUAAUAAAUAUAUCGCUAAUUCAUUGUUUAAUUUUUUUUUAGAUGAAAAUACAACUUCUCUAGAUAUAAAUGACAAUACGACUCCUCAAAAUACAAGUGAUGAUUAAGAAAUACAACUCAAAUAGCAAAUUAAAAAAGGAUAAUAUUUCAUAAUUGUUCUACUAUAAUUUUGUAAAAGUUAUUUGUGAAAUAAGUUUAUUUUCAACCACUUUUUAAUUAGUCUAAAAUAACAUUUUAUUAAAUAUAUUGUAUUAUUAUUAAUUAACAAUUUAAAGUAAAAAUCAUAAAAAAAUGUUUAAAAUUGUUUAUUAAGAAUUUUAUUUAAGUGUUAUAACAGUAAAAUUAUAAAAUAGUAUUGUGGAAAUGAUGUAUAAAUAAUUAAGAAAUAAA